UAUAAAAAUUAUUUCUGAUGCUUCUGUUGAUCACCACAGCGCCACGGUAAUAAAAAGUAUCACAAAAGUAUUACAUCAUAAGUUAUUUUAUCAAAGUGCCAUUUUACAAAUUUACGUAAAACAACCGGCAGGUUAUGUCACCAGAAAUUUCAUUUUUAUUGUUCUCGAAGAUUCGAAUUAUUACUUUGUGCAAUAAAAAAGGGAUACGAAAGACGACGUUCCAAUGAACACUGAGGCAUUUCACAAUCAGGAGCAUGUUUCCGGAUUCACAGAUUACGUCCGCAUGCGUAUAGUAACGAACUGAUAAGAACAGUUAUUCACAGACCCUAGAUUUUAUAUAUUAUACUUGUAGCAUUCGUAAAAGUGUAAAACACAAAGAAAGUAAACAAUUUUAGUGAAAUUUAAAAUGACUCCUAACAUCAAUCGUUCGGUAAACUAUAAUCACCAAAAUAAAAAAGUAAAAAAUCGGAGAGUACAGUAUUAAGCUGACCAGACAGUUCUCGUGUUUACCAUUAUCCAUAGUGUUUUACAUAGACAUCCAGUAUCAGAUAAAAUUUAAGAAAAUUUCUGAUUAACAUUCUUAGGUUUUUUUCAUAUUUUGAGAGAAAAAUCUUCAAAAUUAACGAGAAAAUGAAAAUGAGUGCUGGGCAAUGUGAAGAGAAAAUGACUGUAGGAAAAAAGAAAAGCUGGGAAGGCAAUAAGAAAACAUGAAAACAUCAAAAGAGGAAGGACGUUAGGAGAAGAAAUAAGUAAAAAGGGAAGAAUACAUCAUCAAGGAGAAAAUUGGACUUUAAUCAAGAAAUUACCGAGUGGAUCAUUUGCAACGAGUCAUUUACUGAAAAUUGGGUGCAAUAUGAAGUAUAUAUCGUACGAUGGUAUAUUUUCAGCUAUCUAAACAAAUUAUUUUUAAAAUAAAUGAACUACUAAACAGCAUAAUAGUAACACCAUAUUUAAUAGAAAUUACAAUUCGA